GGUGAACACAGCAAGAAUGAGCCCCAUUGAGUUGAACCAAGCCAUGAAACUUGGACAUCUGCAUGACUGUGCUUUGACGAAACAUCUUGCAUCUAUUCGACUCCACCAUGCGGUAUCUUGGCCAUAGAACAAGAUGAAAGACUUCAGUAUUUACAUCUGGUACUUUCUACCAAGUGUCUGGGGACUUUCCCCGAAGCCAACAUGGUGAGACACUCGACAAAAACUUAAUAAAUCCGAGGAUAAAUCAAAAUUUUUGCAAGCUCUCCGUUUCUUGCUUCGUAGCAGAUCUUCGCUGUGUCCACGUGGACACGAUGACACGCAGAUAUUUUUAUAUGAAAAUUUGAACCAAUCAGAAUACGUGAUUUCUAACCAAUCAAA